rnacentral:rRNA from 1 species
UACGGAGGGUGCAAGCGUUAAUCGGAAUUACUGGGCGUAAAGCGCGCGUAGGCGGUUUUCUAAGUCGGAUGCGAAAGNCCCGGGCUCAACCUGGGAACUGCAUCCGAUACUGGAAGACUAGAAUGCGGGAGAGGGAGGUAGAAUUCCAUGUGUAGCAGUGAAAUGCGUAGAUAUAUGGAGGAAUACCAGUGGCGAAGGCGGCCUCCUGGCUCGACAUUGACGCUGAGGUGCGAAAGCGUGGGGAGCAAACGGG